AUCUGAAAUUUAAAGAACAAACCGUGAGAGAGAAGGGAGGAAGAAGAAGAAGAAGCGAAAAGAGGGGAAAAUAAGGGAAAAAGAAAAAGGAGUUGGAAGAAAUAAGUUUAAAGAUAAUCCUGAUAUUCUACCGGCGGGACGUCAGUAGGAUUUUCUUCGAUAUCAGCUUUGAGUUUUGUUGCUUUUGAGUCAGGCUUAUAGCUUGAUAGCAGGUCAUUUUGUUGGACCUUCAGAACCUGCUCUGUUGGUCGUAAUUUGUAUCUUCCUUUAUGUCUAGUUAGUGCUCCAAAACUCUGAACUUAUAUAAACUCUUGUAUUAAGACAAUUCAAUUAUAUUAUGAAGUUGAUUUUGUUGUUAAUGCUGCGUUCAACUCUGAUUGAGUUAGGAUAAGUUUGUGUGUAAGUUUGGGUUCACAUAGGUAUGGAACCUUGGAGGGGAACCUUGCCUAUGUGCCGGUCAUAGAUCCGGGGAUCGGGUC